AUAGAAACAGAAAAGAGAUAAGUGCUUGCCAGUGGUCGGGUAUUGGAGGAAUGGGAAUGGCUGCUAAUUGGUAUGGUGUUUAUAAUGUGAUGAAAUGUUUUGGAAAGAGACACUGGAGAUGAUUGCCCAACCUCGUGAAUAUAUUAACAUCGACUGAAUUGUACCCUUUAAAAUGGUAGACUUCAUGAUUGUGUAAGAGGAAGAUGUAUGUCACGUCAAAGAAUUAUUUGCUAGUCCUAAGUCCUGAAAUUUCUCCUAUUUUUUCCUAAACAUUUUAUGGUUUUAUAUUUUACAUAUAAGUUCAUAAUAUCAUUUGAGUUAAUUUUUGCAUAAAGUAUGAGUUUUAAGUUGAGCUUCUUUUUUUUGCUUAUAAAUGUCUCUUUGACAAAUUUUAAAACUGAGUUAUCUUUAUUACUGAGUUGUAAGAAUUCUUUCCAUCCCCUAGAUACACAUGCUUUGUCAGAUGUAUGUAUUACAAAUAUUUUCUUUUGGUCCUGGCUUGUUUAUUCAUUUGCUUAACGGUGUCUCUUAUGGUUUUACAUUUUGAUUAAAUCCAAUGUGUUAGUUUUUUUGAGGUUGGUACUUUUUGUUCUCAUGGAAAAAAUCUUUGCCAACCCCACAGUCAUGAAGAUAUUCUUCUGUUUUUCUCUAGAAGCCUUUUAGUUUUAGCUUUUGAGUUUAGGUCCAUGAUGCAUCUCAAAAUUAGUUUUUUGUGUAGCAUGAGGCAGGAACUGGAGUGGCUCUUUCACUCAGCCCGCCGCUGGCCACUCCUCCUCUCAGGAGGGAGGGUGCGAGCAAGCAAGUGCAGGAACUGAAGCGAACAAACACUGGAACUUGCCAGAGUCCAAGCGUGUUAUGACCAAUGCUCUGUCAGCUUAGCCGUCCAGGGACAGGGAAGUGCCAACCAGCUCACUGGAGGGUCAAGGUGGCAGCCUCUGACCUCUCAGCACCCAGGUUCUUGUCCAGCAUCCAGGAAGAAUCAAGUCACACGAACUGUUUGAGAGGUUGAUGAAUGCAGAAGACUUUAUUGAGCAGUGGGUGGCUCUCAGCAGAAAGGGAGACUGAAAACGGAUUGGGAAAGUGAUCUCUCUCUCCCUAAAGCCCGGCUGCCCCUGUCUGAAGUUAGCCACGUCUAUCCAUAGUCUCCAAUGCUCAGUUGCUUCUCUGCUCUCUGCUCAGCCGCUUGUGUUGCUCUGCCAGCUGAAGUCUUCUAUGGGCACAGGAUAGGAGCAUGGCAGGCCAAAAAGGUAACUUCAUCUUGACAUUCUGCAAAACAUAAUUCUGGUUGACUGCAUGAGUGGCAUGAUGCUAAUGUGAAUUAUGAGCAAGAAGUGGCAAAUACCCUAUAUGCCCAAAUCCGUGCAAUCUCUGGCACUAGGGGGUCAUCUGGGUUUGGAUCACAUAGCAGUGAACAAAUGGAUAAAAGAACUGCAAGAAAACAAAAACGUCUGUUACCCAGUUUCAGGAGUUUGGAUAAAUAAAUUUUUCUAAACCGUGUUAUCACAAAAUUCAAUCCUCAAAAGACUUUUAUUAGUGUGUAUCUCUAUCUCAAUGAGACAUAGUUUUACAGAGAUUUUGUUUCACAGAAGACAAGCUUCUGGUAAGUAAGAAGUGCUAAAAACAGGGUUUUGUGGCAUCAAAUUCACUGCUGACUAGCCAUAAAAAUAGUUUCUAAGAUAGGCAACUGAUGCCAUAUUAAUAUAUGUAUUUUAAAUAGGCAUAAAUGAUAUUAGAACUUCAGGGGUUUCUUGGUACUCUGUGUGGCUGCGGGGGGAGGGGGGGACUUUAGCAAGAAUAUGCAGGUAACACUCAUGCCAUAUUCAUAGCCGUUAGGCAUGACGAAAAAUCCAUUCUUAGCCACUGUCUUGGGAAUUUCUGAGAAAAACCUUCAAGAGCUCCACUAAAUGUCUCCUUGAACUUGUAAGCAGGAAACCAUAUUCCCAAGAGUACUAGUUAAAUACAAUGCCAAAAUCUCUUUAGUACUAAGUGACUCAUCAGCUCUAGUUCUUACCUUAACCAGUUCAACAUAUUGAUGUAUAAGAUGUCAAGCAUUAAGGAACAUAGAUCGCACUCACUUUGAGUGCCUGCUAUGUGCCAGUCACCAUGUAUGGUGGUGCUGUUAUAAAAUGUUAAGAUACAAAUGCUUGAAAUGGUUCUGAUUUUUUUUUUUUUAAAAGCAAUAGUGUAAAAAAGACAACACUGUCACAUAUUUAUUGACUACAGCAAAUUUAAUUUCAAACCCCAAAUAUAGCAGAAUAUAAAAUUACCUAAUAUAGGAGACUUGGCUAUACAAUAACUCACAGAAAAAAGGUAGCUUCAGUUGUGACUGCUAGUUUAAUAAGUUAGCAAAGUAUGGCUGCCAAAAAAGUAAGAUGAUUUAACGACAAAACAUACCAAAUCAAUCUGCCCUUACAAAAACAGUUUUCAGUGUUACUGUACGCUCCCAGCAGUAGUAGAAAAACUUGGAAGCUGAUAUUUAGGUAUGGAGCAUGAUUUGAAAAGAAAUUAGAAAGCAUCCAAGAGGGUGAAAAACAGGUCUAAAAUUUUAAAAACACUUGAAUUAUGGCAGCAUCUGCCUAAGUUGUUUCUUUUUCUCCCUUAAGUGAUUCUACUCAAUAAAGUUUGGGAAAUGCUACUGCUACAGUCUCUCUCCCUGAGAUUCAAGUGCAGUAUAUACGUAUAUGAAACUUUCAUACAACGCCUUGCCUUUUGAAAAAGCUAUUUUGUACUUACUGAACUCAUAAAAUCAAAAAACAAUUAAUGGUGAAAUAGUGUUAAUUAGUACAACGUCACCUGGGAUAUUCAUGCAGAGACUGGAAAACCUGUUACAUAUAACGUAACAGAUGCCUAUUAAAAGAGACCAGAAUCGAUCUACAGAU